rnacentral:rRNA from 1 species
GAUGAACGCUGGCGGCGUGCCUAAUACAUGCCAGUCGAGCGAACAGACGAGGAGCUUGCUCCUCUGACGUUAGCGGCGGACGGGUGAGUAACACGUGGAUAACCUACCUAUAAGACUGGGAUAACUUCGGGAAACCGGAGCUAAUACCGGAUAAUAUAUUGAACCGCAUGGUUCAAUAGUGAAAGACGGUUUUGCUGUCACUUAUAGAUGGAUCCGCGCCGCAUUAGCUAGUUGGUAAGGUAACGGCUUACCAAGGCAACGAUGCGUAGCCGACCUGAGAGGGUGAUCGGCCACACGGGAACUGAGACACGGUCCAGGCUCCUACGGGAGGCAGCAGUAGGGAAUCUUCCGCAAUGGGCGAAAGCCUGACGGAGCAACGCCGCGUGAGUGAUGAAGGUCUUCGGAUCGUAAAACUCUGUUAUUAGGGAAGAACAAAUGUGUAAGUAACUAUGCACGUCUUGACGGUACCUAAUCAGAAAGCCACGGCUAACUACGUG